GACAAACGCUGGCGGCGUGCCUAAGACAUGCAAGUCGGACGGGCCCUUCGGGGUCAGUGGCGGACGGGUGAGGAACGCGUGGAGAACCUGCCCCGGUGUGGGGGAUACCCGCCAGAAAUGGCGGUUAAGACCGCAUACGAGCAUCUGGCGAAGGCUGGAUGGGGAAAAGCCUUCGGGCUGCACUGGGAGGGGUCCGCGUCGGAUUAGCUAGUUGGUGGGGUAACGGCCUACCAAGGCUGCGAUCCGUAGCUGGUCUGAGAGGACGGCCAGCCACACU
rnacentral:rRNA from 1 species